rnacentral:sRNA from 1 species
AUGUACUACGUGUACAUGGCGGUUCCUGCGCUCCGGCCGCACUUAACCAGCCUUGGCUCGCUCGCCCACUGGGCUAGGC